UGACUACUCCCUCUGUUCCAAAUUACUCGUCGCAGAAAUGGAUGUAUCUAGAACUAAAAUACAUCUAGAUACAUCCAUACCCGCGACAAGUAAUUUGGAACGGAGGGAGUACUAU
rfam:Triticum aestivum genome assembly, contig: Triticum_aestivum_CS42_TGACv1_scaffold_556283_7AL